AAAGUGGCUACCUUGCAGAUCAGUUGUAGGACGAAGGAAGAAGAGGGGUCUUUCAUGAGGGCCAGAGCCUGCCUCUGGUAGCCAAGGAUGACUUGCCUACAUGGCCUUGUUAGUUCCGGUUGAAUAGCCGGUUCAGCUAGGUCUCUGGGCGGUCACCUUGGCUAGUCUGAGUGGCUUUUGCCUCUCAUGGAAGGCCUCUUCUUCUCUGUUACUCAUUAUAUAUAUUGCCAGGUGCUUCAUUAUGUUUGCUUUGUCAGAUUGUUCAGAAAUACAUGUGUGGAUUUAAUUACUUGCAAAGCUAUAGAAUCUCCAAGUCUUGUAAAUGAGCAUUGAUCAGCGGCUGUGGAGUAGACUGCAACGUACAUGUGGACCUUAGGAUUUGGAACUCUGUACGUGUGCCUCCUUUGUGUAUAGCGAAAGCAGCUAACUAUGACAGGGAUUCAAGGAAACGAGGCCAAUGCCUGCAAAUCCCUGAACUGUGCUUUGGGGAUGUGUUUGUCUUCCAAAGAGGAGACUCCAUAUAUAUUCGCUAGACAAAUCCUAGCUAAUAACUGAUGGGGUUCUUGACUUGGAUUGGACAGCUCCAUGUCAUGUUUUGCAUCAUAUACUACAAAGUUAUGUAUAUCCACACGUAUAUAUAUUAUCUCCCAGUUUCAAUUC